GGAACACCUACCGUGUCAUGAAGGUGAAUUAUGACCUCGGGGUUCAGACCUCAGCUCAACUGGAGACCAGCAUGUCUGCGUGUAGCCCAUUGCCCCAUACUUCCUGUAAUCCCAGUUGAGUCAGAACACCUCAGAGUCCAGCUUUCUCUAUGGUCCUGUGAUCCUGAUAUUUUGCAUGUGUCAGAGUUCUUGGUAGUCAAGCUUCCUCUGAGACCCUGAGACCCUGGAAUGACCAAGCUCCUGGGAUCCUGGGAUCCUGGAAUCCUAAGAUCCUGAGUGUGUUAGAGCUCCUGGAAGUGGAAAGAGGAACAGAGAAAAUGAGAUCAUUAAAGAGAAUAGAAUGUAGACUGCCACAUCAAAUAAGAAGAAGUGAGAAGCCUGUGUUUUCAUCCCAGUGGACCAAGAGGAAAGGAGGAAAGAAGCAAGGAAGGAAAGCAGUUUUACCUUUUUCACUAAUCCCAUAUUUUUCAGUGAACACCACUCUUUUAACUUCUCUGGUAAAUUCCAAAACCUGCUUUCUGGAUAGUUCCAUGUGAACUUAUCACCACUGCACCAUAUCUAGCAUACUAUGUGCUACAUGCUAAAUUAAGUCUCUCUUAUCCAAGAA
rnacentral:lncRNA from 1 species